GGUUCUGCGGCCCUGGCUGCAGCUAAGACGGGAAUACGGUUCAAGCCGUGGCUGCCCCCGCAACUGUAAGCGUUGAACGGCAUCGGCCGUGCCACUGCCCCGGGCGGGAAGGCGUCGAUGCUGCCGGCAGGCGUGCCGGCACAGCGCGAGCCAGGAGACCUGCCUCGAACA
rnacentral:ncRNA from 1 species